rnacentral:rRNA from 2 species
AACUCUGGUAUUGAUUGGUGCUUGCAUCAUGAUUUACAUUUGAGUGAGUGGCGAACUGGUGAGUAACACGUGGGAAACCUGCCCAGAAGCGGGGGAUAACACCUGGAAACAGAUGCUAAUACCGCAUAACAACUUGGACCGCAUGGUCCGAGCUUGAAAGAUGGCUUCGGCUAUCACUUUUGGAUGGUCCCGCGGCGUAUUAGCUAGAUGGUGGGGUAACGGCUCACCAUGGCAAUGAUACGUAGCCGACCUGAGAGGGUAAUCGGCCACAUUGGGACUGAGACACGGCCCAAACUCCUACGGGAGGCAGCAGUAGGGAAUCUUCCACAAUGGACGAAAGUCUGAUGGAGCAACGCCGCGUGAGUGAAGAAGGGUUUCGGCUCGUAAAACUCUGUUGUUAAAGAAGAACAUAUCUGAGAGUAACUGUUCAGGUAUUGACGGUAUUUAACCAGAAAGCCACGGCUAACUACGUGCCAGCAGCCGCGGUAAUACGUAGGUGGCAAGCGUUGUCCGGAUUUAUUGGGCGUAAAGCGAGCGCAGGCGGUUUUUUAAGUCUGAUGUGAAAGCCUUCGGCUCAACCGAAGAAGUGCAUCGGAAACUGGGAAACUUGAGUGCAGAAGAGGACAGUGGAACUCCAUGUGUAGCGGUGAAAUGCGUAGAUAUAUGGAAGAACACCAGUGGCGAAGGCGGCUGUCUGGUCUGUAACUGACGCUGAGGCUCGAAAGUAUGGGUAGCAAACAGGAUUAGAUACCCUGGUAGUCCAUACCGUAAACGAUGAAUGCUAAGUGUUGGAGGGUUUCCGCCCUUCAGUGCUGCAGCUAACGCAUUAAGCAUUCCGCCUGGGGAGUACGGCCGCAAGGCUGAAACUCAAAGGAAUUGACGGGGGCCCGCACAAGCGGUGGAGCAUGUGGUUUAAUUCGAAGCUACGCGAAGAACCUUACCAGGUCUUGACAUACUAUGCAAAUCUAAGAGAUUAGACGUUCCCUUCGGGGACAUGGAUACAGGUGGUGCAUGGUUGUCGUCAGCUCGUGUCGUGAGAUGUUGGGUUAAGUCCCGCAACGAGCGCAACCCUUAUUAUCAGUUGCCAGCAUUAAGUUGGGCACUCUGGUGAGACUGCCGGUGACAAACCGGAGGAAGGUGGGGAUGACGUCAAAUCAUCAUGCCCCUUAUGACCUGGGCUACACACGUGCUACAAUGGAUGGUACAACGAGUUGCGAACUCGCGAGAGUAAGCUAAUCUCUUAAAGCCAUUCUCAGUUCGGAUUGUAGGCUGCAACUCGCCUACAUGAAGUCGGAAUCGCUAGUAAUCGCGGAUCAGCAUGCCGCGGUGAAUACGUUCCCGGGCCUUGUACACACCGCCCGUCACACCAUGAGAGUUUGUAACACCCAAAGUCGGUGGGGUAACCUUUUAGAACC